rnacentral:rRNA from 1 species
GGCUCAGAUUGAACGCUGGCGGCAGGCCUAACACAUGCAAGUCGAGCGGAAACGAGUUAUCUGAACCUUCGGGGAACGAUAACGGCGUCGAGCGGCGGACGGGUGAGUAAUGCCUAGGAAAUUGCCCUGAUGUGGGGGAUAACCAUUGGAAACGAUGGCUAAUACCGCAUGAUGCCUACGGGCCAAAGAGGGGGACCUUCGGGCCUCUCGCGUCAGGAUAUGCCUAGGUGGGAUUAGCUAGUUGGUGAGGUAAGGGCUCACCAAGGCGACGAUCCCUAGCUGGUCUGAGAGGAUGAUCAGCCACACUGGAACUGAGACACGGUCCAGACUCCUACGGGAGGCAGCAGUGGGGAAUAUUGCACAAUGGGCGCAAGCCUGAUGCAGCCAUGCCGCGUGUGUGAAGAAGGCCUUCGGGUUGUAAAGCACUUUCAGUCGUGAGGAAGGUAGUGUAGUUAAUAGCUGCAUUAUUUGACGUUAGCGACAGAAGAAGCACCGGCUAACUCCGUGCCAGCAGCCGCGGUAAUACGGAGGGUGCGAGCGUUAAUCGGAAUUACUGGGCGUAAAGCGCAUGCAGGUGGUUUGUUAAGUCAGAUGUGAAAGCCCGGGGCUCAACCUCGGAAUAGCAUUUGAAACUGGCAGACUAGAGUACUGUAGAGGGGGGUAGAAUUUCAGGUGUAGCGGUGAAAUGCGUAGAGAUCUGAAGGAAUACCGGUGGCGAAGGCGGCCCCCUGGACAGAUACUGACACUCAGAUGCGAAAGCGUGGGGAGCAAACAGGAUUAGAUACCCUGGUAGUCCACGCCGUAAACGAUGUCUACUUGGAGGUUGUGGCCUUGAGCCGUGGCUUUCGGAGCUAACGCGUUAAGUAGACCGCCUGGGGAGUACGGUCGCAAGAUUAAAACUCAAAUGAAUUGACGGGGGCCCGCACAAGCGGUGGAGCAUGUGGUUUAAUUCGAUGCAACGCGAAGAACCUUACCUACUCUUGACAUCCAGAGAACUUUCCAGAGAUGGAUUGGUGCCUUCGGGAACUCUGAGACAGGUGCUGCAUGGCUGUCGUCAGCUCGUGUUGUGAAAUGUUGGGUUAAGUCCCGCAACGAGCGCAACCCUUAUCCUUGUUUGCCAGCGAGUAAUGUCGGGAACUCCAGGGAGACUGCCGGUGAUAAACCGGAGGAAGGUGGGGACGACGUCAAGUCAUCAUGGCCCUUACGAGUAGGGCUACACACGUGCUACAAUGGCGCAUACAGAGGGCGGCCAACUUGCGAAAGUGAGCGAAUCCCAAAAAGUGCGUCGUAGUCCGGAUUGGAGUCUGCAACUCGACUCCAUGAAGUCGGAAUCGCUAGUAAUCGUGGAUCAGAAUGCCACGGUGAAUACGUUCCCGGGCCUUGUACACACCGCCCGUCACACCAUGGGGAGUGGGCUGCAAAAGAAGUAGGUAGUUUAACCUUCGGGGGGGACGCUUACCACUUUGUGGUUCAUGACUGGGGGUGAAGUCGUA